AAUGAGUUUUUUGUUUCACAUGUUGAAAAUCUGAGACCGUUAAAAUUAACACUGUGGUGAGUUACUAACUUUAAUACUUUAUAUAAUAAGAUAAAGCAAAUAGAGAUUUAGCAAAACCAAAAACAAAACUCAAAAAUCAUAUGAAAAACCAAAUCUUAAAAUCCCAAACUCCUAUUUAGGCCGAUCUUAAGCAGAAGAAGAUAAGGAAGGAUCGAAGAUUUGACCAGCGAACAAAACAGUUCCGGUUUUGUCUUCUCUAAUAAAG
rnacentral:sRNA from 1 species